GGUCAAAUGAGAAUCUUUCUGAAAAGCAGAUAAUGUCCUCACAGAAGGGAAUUGCCUAAAAACAUGUAGAACAUAGCUCCUAUGCUACAAGAAUAAUCUGCCCAAGGUCACACAGGUUCAGAAAAGUCAUGAAUAGCAGCACUGGCAAGCUGCCUGCAAAGAAGCCUGCUCUUCCUUGUCUGAGUUUUCCAGAGACAGGCCCCAUGCGGGGAAGCCUGCAGAAGACCGGCACUGCC